GCAACAAUGAGUUGAUAAUUUUAUAUGCCAUGGUCAACAAGAUCAAGAUCUGCCCCGUCAAGGCAAUGGUUUGGCAAUGGCUUGGGAACUUUAAGAUGACGGGUCCCAUUGAGUGCACUUCUUUGAUCACUCACAUCGCUAUGAGGAUCGGGGCUCUAGAUGAGAUUACUAUUCUUUGUACCAAGUUGUCCUUGUAUAUUUUGCUUUUCUUUCCUUCUACCUUUAUC
rnacentral:lncRNA from 1 species